CAUGACCAACAGUUGAUAUUUCCCUCCAAAUUCAAAUUUCAAAAUUCUGCAUUCAAAAACAAAGCUUUGACAAAUCAAACAAAACCAUGAGAACUAAAACCAAUCAGAAACUGGAGGAAAAGAAGCAUUUUGGGUUAAUUUUAUUAUUUUCCAAACAACUAGUCUAGAUUACAACAUAAUUCUUAAUUUUGUGAGGAAGAAUUGUGAACAGUGAUUCAAUUAAUCAAAUAAAACAAUCUGAAUCAAAAUCCAUUUAAAAAUGAAAUAAUAAAUAUUUUGGGUGAAUUUCACCCCAAAGAAGUCCACAUUUUCUCUAAAAUUUGUGAUUUCAUAUUUCCGCAAGGAAGUAUUGUGAACAAUUUUUAGAUUAAUUGAAUUGACCAUCAUAUGCACAGCGACUCCUGCUGGCCAUCAUUACACUUAGAUGAAGGAAACAAACAAACAAACAAACAAACAAAAAAAACAGAUCAUCAAAAUCCAUUAAGAACUGAAGAAGGAAAAACCAUUUAGGUGAAUUUCAGAUUAUUGGAUGGAUUUCUUUCUAAUAGAAUGCAAUGAGCCCCAUUAGGCCGAUGGUCUAGUGGUUAAGCGUUGGGCUUGAGACCAGAGGAUCCUUGGUUCAAAUCCCAGCCUGACCAGAAAAUCACUAAGGGCCCUUGGGCAAGGACCUUAAUCCCCUAAUUGCUCCCAGUGUGUAGUGAGCAUCUUGUAUGGCAGCACCCUCCCAUCAGGGUGAAUGUGACACCAAUAACACGUACAUCAAAAUCCACCAAAAAUUUGUAAGGAUCGUCCACAUCAAGAUCAGUCCAUCUGAAUUUCUUCCCUAACUCCUUGUUUGUUGCAGCAUUGUUAUUGGUGUUUAUGCAGAUUGUCCAGACUGUAUCAGUUGCAAAACACAGGAGAAAAAGGUCUUUUGGACUUUGGGGUGAAAGCGUAUCUACCUGGACUCCUGGUGUGCUCUGAAGUUGGAAUCUGCUAACUGCUGGAGCAGUGUCUACAUCCUCCUCCAUGUUCCAGCAGUCAGAGCUGGAUAGAGAAGCGCGUGCUCCGACCCUCAUGUGCUCUACACACACUCAGAUCUCUGUGUGCAUGAUGGAUCCACCUGCUCUGAUUGCUCGUCCAGAACAAAAAAGGGAUUGUCUCCAUCAUUAGAAGCCUCACUGUCUUGUUCAGACUCUGAGGACACACUGCACACACCAGCUUCCUCUAGUUAAAAAAAAAAAAUGAAGCGCUUGCUCAACAUUCCUAAGAUGCUUCAUUUUUACAAAAAACACACCACCACGACACAUGCUAAAUACUCCACCACGGACUAAAUACACACACAAAACACGCUAAAUAUCUCUCGAAUACAACAACUCUCAUCAUCUCAUCUUUUCUCUCUCCUCACCCAAUCACCCACAAUAUUCCUUCCCUCAGCAACCAAAUUACGUGGCUUGGGGAUCAUUGUUAUUGGCUUAUGUAGUUCAUUUUCCACCAGUAAUAAAGAGAAAUUCAUAUUUUGUUUUUUUAUACUUGUGUUGCUAUGGACAGAGGGGGACAAGAAAGAAAAGAAACUGGGCUUAGUGACUUCUGACUGGUUAGCUUGUGCGUUUUCCACCAAUGAUAAAGAGGGAGUCGUGUUUUUUUCCCACCCAUCACUGCUGCAGCAGAGAAGGAAAUUAUCCUUUUUGCUGUAGCUGUGUACAUAUCGCGCAGCAAAAAUGACAAUAAUAUUCAUGAAAAUGUUGGGCAUAAAAAAUACCCAUAAGUCAACUUUUACUUGGCCUAUUAACAAAAUUUAAAAGUUGGUAUAAAAAUUUAAAUCUGCACAUUCAAUACGCAUUCAAUAGGCAACUCCGAGUGCAGUGAAUUGGUUGUUACAUCCACUUAAUUCGGCCAUGUGACUAUUGACACGGUGGCGCGUCUGUCGACUCCACACGGUUAAUGUGUGUUUGGUUAGCAAUUAAGCGUCUAAGGUCUGUCAUACAACUGUUGUCAAUAGAUAAUAGAAAUGAUAAUCUCGCCUAAAAAAGUAAGUCCCUUCGGCUGUUCCCAUGUUUGCACACGGGGUUGCCACAGCAAAUCUGAGGCAGAUGCAAAAUGGCUAGAGCCAGUUGAGCCCAACUGAAGGAAAUCUGUCGUAGUGAUGGAGAACUUUAAUCCCGGUCUCGAUCUCUUUCAAUGACCAUAUUGUUUGUAAAUCUUUUUUAAGGUCUUGGAAUUUAGUUUUUGUGUCCUGUAUGAAUUAUGUGUCUAUUCAGAGUGCUCUUUCAUCCAAAUCUUUGACCACACUCAGAACAGACAAAUGGUUUUUGUCUUUUUGUUUUGUCUCUUUUUCAUUUGUUUUGAAUUUCAUUCUACUGCAUUUUCUUUCUUCUUAGAGUGCAGUGGGCCCCAGACAUGGGGUCUAAAGUUGCACCUUAACAUUACUGACAUUGUAUCCAAGGGCCUUCUUCAAGAUGGUGACUUAUCCUCUCCUCAAAUACUGCCUUUGAUCUCCUGCCCCACUUCUCAUGUUUGAGUAAGUGAAGCAGUGAAAGAUCUUUUUCUUCUCCCCAACUGACCAAUUUACAAUGGUGUAGUUUCACUGGAUUCUUUUGGCCCUUUGAUGGUGUUGUUGCUGGGAUCCAGGCUCAGAACUAUCCGGUGGAUGACCCAGCUGAAUUCUGCCACAGGAGAGAUGUCUCCCCGCAGCACUAGGAGAAGUUGCACCAUUGCUUUCUUCACACGCCCUGGCGUCUAGGCGCUUUGUGGAGUUUUUAGCUGGGGUUUUUCUUUGAAACAUCCUCAUACCAAGCUCUCUCCUGGCAACCCCCUUUAUAGUGGGACAGAGGACACUGGAGGCUCGUGUAUGAAUUUUCAUGUGUGUGUUCAGGUUGUUCUUUAGUCCAAAUUUCUGACCACACUCAGAACAGACAAAUGCUUUUUGCCCUGUAUGAAUUAUCAUGUGUGUGUUCAGAGUGCUCUUCUGUCCAAAUUUUUGACCACACUCAGAACAAACAAAUGAUUUUUUCCCUGUAUGAAUUAUCAUGUGUGUGUUCAGGUUGCUCUUUAGUCCAAAUCUUUUACCACACUCGGAACAAACAAAUGCUUUCUUCCCUGUAUGAAUUAUUAGGUGUCUGUUCAGAUUGCUCUUUAGUCCAAAUCUUUGACCACACUCAGAACAGACAAAUGCUUUUUUCCCUGUAUGAAUUAUCAUGUGUUUGCUCAGGUAGCUCUUUCGUCCAAAUCUUUGACCGCACUGGGAACAGAAAAAUGUUUUUUGUCCUGUCUGAAUUCUAAUGUGUUUGUCCAGAGUGUCCUUUAGUUUCUGUAUUUUACUCUGAUCAAAACAGUUAAAUGGUUUGCCUUGCCUCUU